rfam:Selenomonas ruminantium subsp. lactilytica TAM6421 DNA, complete genome.
AUCAGCCUGGGGUGUGCGCGGGCUUUUGGAAUGUCCAACCUACAUUUUUUACAGGGAGCCUGAUUUGAUUCUGGUGGAAGUUCGCCUCGGCGUCAUGCGGAAGCCAGACUUAGGGCACCCACCUGCUAGUCGCAGGUUUUGGGCAUUUAAAGCAGCGGCAGUUUGGACCCCUU